CAGCGUUUCUCCCUAUAGAUGCUGCCUAGCCUGCUGUGUUCCACCAGCAUUUUGUGUGUGUUGCUGUUUGAAUUUCCAGCAUCUGCAGAUUUCCUCGUGUUUACUACUUCCAUACAGUCUGUCCCAGAAAACUCCUCAACAUUAAGUAGAAAGAAAGAAUCCAUGACACUAAGGUACUUACCAAGGCAGGACUGCCCAGUAUCUACACCAUCCUGAUGCAGUCCCAGUUACAUCGAGCAGGCCACGUAGCUCAUAUGCCAGACCAUCCGCUGCCUAAGAGAGUGCUCUAGGCUGAACUACAGAAAGGAAAGUGUUCCCAUGGAGGCCAAAGGAAACGCUGCAAAGACACACUGAAAACUUCACUCAUAGCCUUCAGCAUCAACCCAAACACAUGGGAACAAAUCACACAGGAUUGGGUUGAGUGGCGCCUCUCCCUUUAUGAGGGUGCAGUAACACAAGAAGCAGAAAGGACAAUUGCAGCAGAGAGACGUAGGGUGGCCAGGAAAUCACAAACUGAUGACCCCCACAACCCAAUUUGGCUGCCAUCUCUUGUCCACACUGCCAAAGAACUUUGAGCCUCUCCAGCUAUCUGUGUACCCACAGACCGGUGCAGUCCCUACAAAUUGCAGAUGACUAGAGUGGUUCUCAUAGUUACAUGAUGGACGAAUGAACAAAGGUUAACAGUAUACAUUCUACUUCUGGAUAAUGUCAUUCAGGCACUGCAGAAGCUGAGCAUCUUGAUCAACAGACACAAAACAGUACACCUUGAUGCCCUCACUAUUGUUGAAAACCACAGUUUUUUAAAGGCCUUAUAUAUCAGAUGAAAGUUGUAGUUUUAUUGUUUGUACUUUUGAACAAACUCAUGUAUUUUUCACAGCACGUGGAAGUUCGUCCCCACUCACUGGCAGAAAGUGGUAUAGCAGUUAAACUAAAGGUUUAUCACCUUUCUCCUUCUUCACUGGCUAAGUGUUAGCACAUAACCCACAUGAUAUAACUGUGCAACCAAUAAUUAGUUUAUUUUUAUCUAACAGUUUUCUCUUACAACAGGCCCAUAAGAUAUUGGAACAGAAACAGGCCAUUUGGCCCAUCGAGACUGCUCUGCCAUUUCAUCAUGGCUGAUCCAACUUCCCUCUCAGCCCCAAUCUCCUGCCAUCUCCCCUUAUCCUUUCGGGCCCUGACCAAUCAAGAAUCUAUCUUCCUCUGCCUUCCAUGAAAAUUUGGCCUCUACAGCAGCAGUGGCAAAGAAUUCCGAAGAUUUACCACUCUCUGGCUAAAGAAAUUCCUCCUCAUUUCCAUUCUGAAAAGGAAACGCCUCCAUUCCAAAGCUGAGUCCUCGGGUCUUGAGCUCUCCCACCAUAGGAAGUAUCCUCUCCACAUCCACUCUAGCAAGGCCUUCCACCACUCAAUAGGUUUCAAUGAGCUCAUCUCUCAUACUUCUGAAUUCUAGAGAAUGCAGGUUCAGAGCCAUCAGACGCUCUUCAUAUGGCAAACCAUUCAAUUCUGGAAUCAUUUGAACCCUCUCCUGUUUCAGUACAUCCUUUUUAAGAUAUGGGGCCCACACCUGCUCCCAAUACUCCAUGUGGGGCCUCACCAGUGCUUUAUAAUGUUUCAACUGUUACGUACCCCGUAACUGGGUCACCUACCAGCAAAGAUAGAGAAGUCCCUUGAAGUCUGAUGGUACUAUUUUUAACAGUAUUUAUUGAUAAAAAUACACAAAAAUAAUAUUAAUGCAAACAUACAGAUAAUAUACAUCAUCAAUACUAUAUCUAAAAGUGCGGGUAUAAUAAUAAUCACUAAGAAAUAGCUCUGUCGUUGUCUAGGGGAUAAUGUAUUGGCCAAUGGAAAUAUAAAAGUCACUCAAGUUCAUGCAGGCUGCAGCCUUUGGUUGGAGUCAAGAGAGAGAGUUUAAAACUUGCCCAUUGUCAAUGAUGUCAAUCCUUCGAGAGUCGUUGGGGCUGAUUUCUCCUUUGUUUUAGCUAAAGCCGUUCUUCCGUGGUAAGGCCCACCAAUUCCGAGGCAAAUGGAAAAGGACGCACGUGGACUGUCCACCAGCUGUCGCUAUUACGGGAUCGCUAGCGUUUCUUCUGGUGCGUCUAAAGAGGUUGUUCCCCAGACCCUUUUUAUCCUUACUCACGGGGUCUCAGAUGUCAAUCAGGUCGGGAUGAUGCAAUCCCUCAACCAACCCCCUCUGAUCAUUCCCUGAGGGCUUCCAUGAAGUACAGUACUCAAUACACAAUUCCGUCUCCAAGAGACAAUGGCCGUUUUCUGUAGCUUUGUAUCGCUGAGGGCCAGGACAUUCCAAACGUCUCUCUCUCAUUUCCUGGGUCUCCUGACCUGAAUUAAUAGCGAUCUUGCAAUUCUCAAAAAGGAGGGGGCUUCUUUGGACCCUUCGGCCCCUCAAAGUUGGGCACAGGCGUAACACAACAUUACAGCAUUGCUUUUAUGUUCUAGUCCUCAUGAAAUGAAUGCCUUCCUCACCACAGACUCAACCAGCAAAUUAACAUUUAGGGAAUCCUGCACAAGGACUCCCAAGUCCCUUUGUGUCUCAAUUUCUUUGUAUUUUCUCUCCAUUUAGAAAAUAGUCAAACCUUUCACUUCUACCAAAGUGCAUGACCAUACACUUCCUGAAACUAUAUUCCAUCUGCCAUUUCUUUGCCCAUUCUCCUAAUCCAAGUCCUUCUGUAGCCUCUCUACUUCCUCAAAACUACCUGCACCUCCACCUAUCUUCAGAUCAUCUGCAAAUUUUGCAACAAAGCCAUCAAUUCCAUCAUCCAAAUCAUUGACAUAUAACAAAAAGAAUCAGUCCCAACACUGACCCCCGUCGAACACCACUAAUCACCAACAGCCAGUCAGAAAAAGCUUCACUUAUUCCCACUCUUUGCCCCCGCCAAUUGACUUCUGCUUUAUCCAUGCUAGAAUCUUUCUUGUAAUACCAUGGGCUCAAAGUUUAUUAAGCAGCCUCAUGUGUGGCACCUUGUCUAACGCCUUCCGAAAAUUCAAGAACAUGACAUCUACCAACUCUUCUUUGUCUAUUGUGCUUGUUGUUUCUUCAAAGAAUUCCAGCAGAUUUGUCAGAAAAGAUUUUCCCCUGAGGAAACCAUGCUGACUACGACCUAUUAUAUCAUGUGCCUCCAAGUACCUUGAGACCUCAUCCUUAAUUAUCCCUUCAACAUCUUCCCAACCACUAGGCUAAACUAACUGGCCUAUAGUUUUCUUUCUUGUGCCUCUCUUCCUUCAUGUAGAGUGGGGAGACAUUUUCAAUUUUGCAGUCUUCCAGAACCAUUCCAGAAUCUAGUGAUUCUUGAAAGAUCAUUACCAAUGCCUCCACAAUCUCUUCAGCCACCUCUUUCAGAACCCUGGGAUGUACACCAUCUGAUCCAGGUUACUUAUCUACCUUCAGACCUUUCAGUUUCCCAAGAAAUUUCUCUCUAGUUAUGGUAACUUCACACUCUUCAUGCCCUCUAACAGCUGGAAAUUCAACCAUAGUACUAGUGUCUUCCAGAGUGAAGACUGAUGCAAAAUAUUUAUUCAGUUUGUCCACUAUUUUGUUGUCCCCACAUUACUACCUCUCCAGCAUCAUUUUCCAGUCAUCUGCUAUCCAUUCUUGCCCCUCUUUUACACUUUAUGUAUCUGAAGAAACUUUUGGAAUUCUCUAAUAGAAACAGAGAAAACCUACAGCACCAUACAGGCCUUUUGGCCCACAAAGCUGUGCCGAACAUGCCCUUACCUUAGAAAUUAUCUGAGGUUACCCAUAGCCUAAUAUUAUUGGCUAGCUUACUUUCAUAUUCCUUCUUUACCUUCUUAAUGACUUUUUUUUUAAAUUCCCUGUGGUUUGGAGCCGCCACCAAGCAGGAUAGAACCAGACUACAGCGCACAGUGAGGACUGCCGAGCACAUCAUUGGAGCCUCCCUGCCUUCUAUUGUGGACCUGUACUCUUCCAGGUGGAAGAAGAGGGCGGGGAACAUAAUAAAGGACUCCUUCCAUCCUGUGCACGGACUGUUUGAACUGCUUCCGUCUGAGAAAUGACUGCACAGGAUCAGAAAAAAAUUGCAGGAAAUUAUAACUCAGCCAGCUCCAUCAUGGGCACUAGCCCUCUCCGCGUAGAGAACAACCUCAAAAGGCGAUGCUUCAAAAGUUCAGCAUACAUCAUUAAGGACCCCCAUCACCCAGGAUAUACCUUCUUCUCAUUUCUACCAUCAAGGAGAAGAUACAGGAGUCUGAAAACACAUUCAACAUUUUAGGAACAGCUUUCCCACCACCAUCAGAUUUCCGAAUGGACAAUGUACACCAACACAAACUAUUUUUUUGUUCUCUUUUUGCACUUUUUUAUUUUUAAAUAUAUUUCUUAUUGUAAUUUAUAGUUUUUUAAUUAUGAAUUGCAAUGUACUGCUGCCACAAAACAAAGUCCAUGACAUAUGCAAGUGAUAGUAAACCUAAUUCUGAUCAAUCUAACUCAUCCCUCCUACAUAAUCCAUACACACCCACACCCAUAUGCCUAUCUUAAAAUCUCUUAAAAGUCCCCAUUGUAUUAGCCUCUACCCCAUCCCCAACACUGCAUUCAAGUGACUUAACCAGUCUGUGUAAACAAUUUUCCUCUGAUAUCUCCCAUAAAUUUUCUGCCAAUUACCGGAAAAGGAUGUCCUUGAUAUUAGCCAUUGCUGCUCUGGCGGUUAAAAAGUUGGCUGCCCUCUCUACCGAUGCCUCUUAGAUACCCUAGUCAAGUCACCUCUCAUCUUCUUUUGCUCCAAAAAAAAACCUAGUUCACUCAACCUUUCCUCUAAGAUGUGUUUUCUACACCACCUCUGUGCCCUCUCCAAAGCAUUCCUGAUUAUUAGAUACUUUUGAUUUCAAGCAUAUUACUCUGGAUUCUCAGCAUCUGCUGAAUCUCUUAUACUGAAAGGCCUGGAGAGAGUUAGUGAGCAAUGCAACACGUAUACAGGUCCCUCAACCCAAUCAGUCCUUGCCAACCCAAUGGUGCCCACCUAGCUAGUUGCAUUUUCCUUUGCUCACUCAAUAAUGGGUUUGGAUGCUUUUACAAAGCUGCUGCCUACUUUCCCCAAUUGAAACAGAGGAGAGGAUCUCAUACAAAACCUGAUGAAUACUGAAAGUAGCACACACAAAAUGCUGGAGGAACUCAGCAGGUCAGGCAGGAUCUAUGAAGGGGAAUAAACAGUCAAUGUUUCAACAGAGACUCUUUAUCAUGGCCAAAUUCCUUCAGCAUUUUUGAGUGUGGCUCUGGAUUUCCAGCACCUGCAGAAUCUCUUGUGCUCACGAAUACUAAAAAGCCUGGGUAGAGCCAGAGAGUAAUGCAGCACACAUUCAGAAGCUUCAGUCCAAACAAUCCACGCCACCCACUAGGCACAGUUUCCUGUGUUCAGCACACAUCGCUCCAAGCUCUGACUCUCCAUGUACCUACCCAAGCGCUUCUUAAAGUAUAUUAUUGUACCUCUUAACCACCUCUUCUAGCAGCUUAUUGCAUAUACUCACUACCUCUGCAUGAAAAGAUUGCCAGGACAGUACGACAUGGAAGCAAGCUGUUGCCCGUACAGUAUGCUUCCUUUCUCUGCAGCUGAUGAAUCCAAAGAAACAGUAAAGACAGUUUGGCACCAGCAAUGUCACGGGAGUUGCCAGUUAGCGUUAAACUCAACGUAGCACUGCCUUAGGGACUGUAGGUCUGGAUUUUUCCUCAGACUUUACUCACAAAGCCUUCCCCAUGAAUACGUGUAGCCAUGAGGCAGCAGAGGUUUGAGAUCAGAGUUUUCCUUCUCCUAGAUAAGCUGCCAACUACAACUGACAAGCCUCAUCUGCCUGAAGCAACUGGUUUUAAAGCACCAGUCAUCUGCCUUUGCCCCUUCUUCUGUCAGGAGAAAUGGUUCCACUGGGCUUAACAGCAAAGCCACAUGUGAAGGCCAGGAGCUGGACUUCGUUGUCAGAGGCUACUUGAGAUGCAUGUCAUUGGGAUCAUUUAAUAGGUAGUGGGAGCUUAGCCCCACUACCACCCUCAGCUAUAACAACCUUACGGAACCAGAAGACUUACCAUCCACAUUAUCUAUUCCUCCUAUAAUUUUAAGCAUUUCAAUAGAUCCCACUCCCGCCUUCACUGCCCUGCAUUCCCAGGAAAAAAGACUUGGGUCCUAGAGUGGACAUAGAGGGGAUCUUCCGUUAGUAUAAAAGUGUAGAUUCUGAAGGCACAGCUUCAGAAUGAAGGAAUAUACCUUUAGAACUGAGAUGAGGAGCAUUUUUUCCAGCCAAAGAGUGGCGAAUCUGUGGAAAUUGUUGCCACAAAGAGCUGUGGCAUUCAAUUUAUUGGGUGUAUUUAAAGCAAAGAUUGUUGGGUUAUUUAUUUGUGAAGGGGUUAAAGGAUACAGGGAGAAGGCAGCAGAAUGGGAUUGGAAAACAAAAUCAUGAUGGAAUGUUGGAGCAGAAUGGCCUAUUGGGCUAAAUGGCCUAAUUCUGCUCCUAUAUCUUAUGAUCUGUAGAAGAGUACAACACAGAAAUAAACCUGGGUCCUGAUGAAGAUCUACAACUCAAAGCAUCCGAUUAUUUUUCCCUCCCUAGAUCCUGCCUGACCUACUGAGUUCCUCCAGCAUCUUCUUUGUUGCCACAGCGACAGAACUUGCAGCCUAUGAUGUCUGUGCUGAAAUCUGAAGGUCACAGCAAGACUAACCUUCCAUACCUACUCGCCUUCAAGAAAGUGGUAGUGAGGCAUCUUCAUGAACUACUGCCCAUUCCCCCAUCCUUUUUAUUUUGUUACUGAUAGCAAAGAAAGCUCACUGCAUUCUUCAGUAAAUCUUGCCUUACCUCCCUUUACACCAAAUAAAGUACCUUGAAAUGUUUUCUGUGUUAAAACAAGCUGCUAUCUGUGCCUUUCAAACCAUAGAUCUCAUAUGAGAAGAGCACGAGUCCCAGAGCCUAAGCUUAAAGGACAAAGCCAUGACCGGCGAGUGAAGUCUUAAGUUAGAGGUCCAAUGUUCACAUGUCAGGAGUAAGGACCGAAGAAAACCUGUCUUGGGGAUGGAGAUGUCUCUGUGUGUGAUGGUGGGAAAGGGUUUAUUUUGCUGUUGUUGCCUAGUUUUAUUUUGUUGUUGUUAUUCUGUUUGUGUUGUUCUGCUGAACAUUAUGGGCAUGCUAUGCCAGUGCCAGAUUGUGUAAAAGCACAUCCCUUGGGGGUUUGUUAAUGCAAAGGAUGCAUUUCACUGUAUGUUUUGAUGUACAUACAACAAAUAAAUAUGAAUGGAUUUUAAAUUGUAAAAUAUUAAAAAAACACAGGUUUGCAGUUGAUCAGACAAAAUUAGACACAAGGUACACGAAGAGAGAGCUAAAAUGCUCGGUCUCAGAAGUGUCACCCAUUUUGGAAUAUGUGAAGACAAUUGAUUCAGAGAGUUAUGAAUCUUUGGAUUUUCUUAUCCUAGAAUUAAGGAAUUGACACAACACUAACAAUUUUGUAACUAGAGAUAUACGGACAGGAGGUACACAGGCCUCAAGUCCUACAAAUCACCAGGUUCAUAAACAGUUUCUUUCAACCAUUCAGUUCUUCAACAUUCAAAAAAUCAAUGUAAAUUAUCAAAGUACAUAUAUGUCACCAUAUACAGUCCAGAGAUACAUUUUCUUGUGGGAAUACUCAAUAAAUCCAAUAACCAUAAUAGAGUCAAUGAAAGACCACACCAACAGGACAGAAAACUAGUGUGUAAAACAAAAUAAACUGUGCAAAUAUAAAAAGAAAGAAAAAGGUUAAUAGUCAUAAUAAAUAAAUAAGCAAUAAAUAUCAAGAACAUGAGAAAUAGAAAGAAAUUGAUCCAUUAGGCAGAUAUAGCAUGGAUUCAGCAAAGGCAGGUCCAGUUUGACAAACUUACUGGAGUUCUUUGAAGAUGUAAUGAGCAGAGUGGAUAGAGGGGGACAGAUGGACAUUAUUUACUUGGAUUUCCAGAAGGCGUUUGAUAAGGUGCCACACUUACCUACAAGAGAAGGAUGCAUAGAGUUGGUGGUGAUGUAUUAGCAUGGAUAAAGGAUUGGUUAAUUAAUGGAAAGCAGAGAGUUGGGAUACAUAGGUGUUACUCUGGUUGGCAAUCAGUAGUGAGCAGUGUGCUACAGGGGUCAGUGCUGGGCCUGUAACUGUUCACGAUAUAUAUCAACAAUCUGGAAGAGGGGACCAAGUGGACUGUAUUUAAGUUUGCUGAUGAUACUAAAUUGAAUGGAAAAGCAAAUUGUGCAGAAGAUACAGAUAGUCUGCAGAGAUAUAGAUAGGUUAAGUGAGUGGGCAAAGGGCUGGCAGAUGGAGGACAAUUUUGGUAAGUGCAAGGUCAUCGACUUUGGAAGGAAAAAUGAAAGAGCAGAUUAUUAUCCAAAUGGAAAAAAAAUUUGCAGCAUGGUGCUGUGCAGAAGGACUUGGGAGUGCUUGUGCAGGAAUCACAAAAGGUUGGUUUGCAGGUGCAGCAGGCUAUCAAGAAGGCAAAUAGGCUGUUGGCCUUCUUUGCUAGAGGGACUGAACUUAAAAGCAGUGAAGUAAAUACCUCAGUAAAUAUACUUAAGACAAGGUUGGAUAGAUUUUUGCAUAGUAGGGGAAUUAAGAAUUUUGGGGAAAAGGCAGGUAGGUGGAAGAGUCCAUGGCCAGAUCAGUCAUGAUCUUAUUGAAUAGCAGACCAGGCUCGAUCAGCCAGAUGGUCUACUCCCACUCCUAUUUCUUAUAUUCUUAUGAGAUUAGGUGUCCUUGCAAGUGACUCCAUAAGUUGUGGGAACAGUUCAGUGAUAGGGUAAGUGAAGUAGAGUGAAGAUAUCUCUUAUGGUUCAGGAGCCUUGUGGUUGAGGAGUAAUAACUGUUCCUGAACUUGGUAAUAUAGGUCCAGAGGUUUCUGUACUUUCUUCCUGAUGGCACUGUGAGAAGAAAGCAUGCCCUGAGUGGUGAGGAUCCCUGAUAAUGAAUGUUGCUUUCCUGCAACAGCACCCCAUGUAGAUGUGCUCAGUGGAGGGGAUAGCUUUAUCUGUGAUGUGCUGGACCACAGCCACUACUAUUUGUAGGGUUUUCUGUUCCAUGCUUGAACCAACCUGCACAACCCCAAUCACUGCUUCAGUCGAGCAGCACUAUGGCCACUUUGUACUACAAUGGACUUAGUUUUUCUUGCUCUGAUUGUGUACUUUCCUGUUCCUAUUUUUAUUUUCUAAGUUUUGUUUUUCUUGUGAAUGCAGUAUUUCUAAUGCCUGUGAUGUUGCUACAAGAAAGAUUUUCAUUGCCUCUGUGCUUACACAUACUUGUGUAUAUGACAAUGGACUUGACUUGACACAGUAACAGACCUUUCAGACCCAUUCAGUCAUUACAACUCAUAUUAUAUUACAGGCCAUCCCUGGUGAAGAACACCCUUCUUAUGGGCACCCCUACUACCUAAGAACAAGUUCCCACAAUUCCAACAUACUGUACAAAAGUCUUAGCCACAUGUAAAAACUCCGUAAAGCAGAGAUGCUUUCAAAACUAAUGAAAUGAACUGUUUUUAAAUAUCAAAAAAAUUACUAUGAAGAACAGUAAACAAACUAAAUCAUAUCAAUAUCUGUUUUAACCAUCCUUUGCCUUUAAAACUGCAUCAAUUCUCUUCAGUACACCGUCAUGCACUUUAUAAGAAAAUUAACUGUUAGGUUGUUUCAAGAGUCUUAGGGAACUUGCUACUGUUCUUCUGCAGACUUUGGUAGUCUUGCUUCUGCCUCUCCAGGUAUCCCCGAAAGCCCUGAUGAUAUUGAGAUCAGAGCUCUGUGGAAUCCAUACCUUCUGAAGUCAUAUAAUAAAUAUAGGGUGUCUAAGACUUGCACAGUACUGCAUACAAACAUUUGUUCCUACAAACAGAAAAAUUCACUCUCUCUUCACUUUACUAACUGCUCUUUCUGAUCAGUUUUUUGGUCUUUUGAUACCAUUCAUUACAAUACUGUGGAGGUGUGGUUGCCUUAUCAAGUAAUUCAUGUUUUUUUUUGCAGCUAACGGCUUCAACCAACUCAACUUACAGAUGAUUGUAAGAACAGAAGCUUUUCAUUAGUCACACGUCCUGUAAUCCAUCAAUUACAUUUCCAGUUCUUUUCCUGAUGAUUUUAUUUAUGCCUCAGAUGCCUAUCCAAUUCUCCGAGAGCCAACUCUGCUUCUGCCAUCCUUACAGGCAUGAGUUCCAAAUCAUAAAUAUCCUCUGUGUGAAAACAGGUCCUUGAGGAAAAAGAACCUCAGAAGAUUCCACCUUUUCUAUAGAUGCUACCUGGCCUGCUGAGUUCCUCCAGCACUGUGUACAUGUUGCUCUGGAGGGUUGACUGAGUCACAUGCAAAUUGGCACUAAAACAUAUAGGUCUGGUGAAUUAAAACUUAAGACAGAAAAGAUUUUUUUUUUCAUGGGACGUUGACACAGUUCUAAGGCAACAAGGAGCUACAGCAAUGGUAUGGGAUCUAUCUGAACCGGAACAGGAUCUACGUCCUUGCAGAAAGGGUUAAGACAUCCCCCUUUAAAAUGAUCUAAAGACUUCAAGCUAAGAGGAGAGUAACAUAAACAGCCUGAGUAUAAGCAAAACAGGAAAAGGGGAAAAAAGAUAACAAAAUACUCCAAAAGCAAGGAAACAUAAACAGAAGACUAAAAAAAAUAUGGUGAACCGUAAAAUAAUAAAACACAAAUCAUACAGUCCAGGCCCUAUGGCCUAUGACAUUGUAUCAGCCCUUUAACCAAAGAUCCCAUGAAAUCAAACUAAAUUGUCCUUACAACAUUUCAUUGAAUGCAAAUAUGCCCUGAUGACAACCAGAUGAAUUAGUUUACUAAGGGAUAUAAAAAAAUCAGGACUGGGAACUAAUCAUUGCUAACAUUGGGUUGUAUGGGGUGUCCAGGGAGGUGUGGCACCUCUGGUGAAGGGGCUUGUUAUGUCUAGUCCGGGGCAGCUCUUUCACCUUUGGUCCCGAGCGGGCACUCAGUUGUCACCGUUUGCAUGUAACAGCUGCCACACCCCUUUGAAAGGUGGACUAAACCAGGUGAGGACAGCCAGUGGCCUCAUACUUCUAUGAGAGAGGGACGGCGAAUGGAGUUCAACCCAUAUAAGUGUGAGGAGGUUCAUUCUGGUAGAUUAAAAUACGAAGGCAGAAUAUAGUAUUAAUGGUAAGACUCUUGGCAGUGUGGAGGAUCAGAGGGAUAUUGGGGUCCGUGUCCAUACGACACUCAAAGCAGCUGCGCAGGUUGACUGUGUGGUUAAGAAGGCAUAUGGUGCAUUGGCCUUCAUCAACCAGGGAUUGAGUUCAGGAGCUAAGAGGUGAUGUUACAGCUAUAUAGGAUCCUGGUCAGACCCCACUUGAAGUACUGUGUUCAGUUCUGGUCACCUCACUACAAGAAGGAUGUGGAAACUAUAGAAAGGGUAGAUUUACAAGGAUGUUGCCUGGAUUGGGGAGCAUGCCUUACGAGGAUAGGUUGAGUGAAUUCAGCUUUUUCUCCUUGGAGUGAUGGAGGAUGAGAGGUGACCUGAUAGAAGUGUACAAGAUGAUGAGGCAUUGAUCAUGUGGAUAGUCAGAUGCUUUUUCCCAGGGCUGAAAUGGCUAACACAAGAGGGCACAGUUUUAAGGUGCUUGGAAGUAGAUACAAAGGGGUAAGUUUUUUUACGCAGAGAGUAGUCAGUGCAUGGAAUGGGCUGCCGGCAACUGUGGUGGAGACGGAUACAAUAGGGUCUUUUAAGAAACUCCUGGAUUGGUACAUGGAGCUUAGAAAAAUAGAGGGUUAUGGUUAACCUUGGGUAAUUUCUGAAGUAAGUACAUGUUCAGCACAGCAUUGUGGACCAAAGGGCAUGUACCGUGCUGUAGGUUUUCUAUGUACCUGUCGAGCAUGCAAAGUUAGCUCCAGUGGACUGGGUGGAUCAGAUCUACAGUGAGAUCCAACAGUAGGCUGCACCAUAACGUGCCACAGAGAACAAAGGCUCCAAGGCACAGAGAUGACAUGGUUAUUCAGUGCAACAGAGGAAGACUCCAGUUUGUGAUGCUUUAUCAUAUCACUGGAUCCGGAAUUCUGGGCUUGAAAUAUUGGAACUGCCCCAGUGCAACAGCUUUUUCACUUUAAGAACUCUCUCACACAGGCUUCCUGUCAUUGUUGAAUACGACAGACAGCCACCAAUUAUGCAUAGUUAGAAAAGAUAAAGAGAAAAGGUGGAGUAGCAGUAAAUAAAACAAUAGAAUGAACUGCAGAAUAAAAUAUUAACAGGACACAGGGAAAAAGUUAAAAAUAGAAAGCAACUCAAUCAAAUCAAAAGAUAAAGGACUAGUCAAUAACAGGUGUAACCUUUAAGCCUAAUAAAGAAAGGGGGAAAAUUGCAUGCAGACAGAUUAGGGGUAUGAGUGAAACAACAGAGCAAUCAUGGGAGAUUUCAAUCACACCGAUUUUAAUUAAGUCUAAGAGGUAGAAGGAAAGGAGAAAAAGGAGUUCUGUACAUAAUAUGAAAGAAAACUGGGCAAUGGAAAAUUUGUUAAUGAAUUAUUAAUGAGAAAUGAUGCAAAGAAAAUUAAAGUAAAAUUUUAAAAAAACACUUAGGUACCAAUAAAGGGCAUUAAUAUGUUGAUAAAUAAGGGGCUGAGAAUAGGAUGAGAAAAUUAAAAUGAGCAAAAGUACUGGUGAAUACUGGUAACAGUAGCUAUCCAUUGGAGAGUUGUUAAGGUGGAAAAGCCGGGAACUGGAGUUCAACUCUCUUGACCUCAGAAUUCCGGGCCCAGUGGUUUGAACAAG